rnacentral:lncRNA from 1 species
CAUUCAUUUUUGUCUUUGUGGUAAUGUUGAUCAAACCCAGGGCCUUGUUACUUCUAGACAACUGAUCUACCCUGCAUAUAUCCCAGGAAAUGUCCCUGCUAAUCCCUACUGGUAUCCAUCCUUUAGUAGAUAAUAAGAGACUGUACUGAUCAACUUGACAUUUUUUUCUGGAACUUUCAAGCUUUGUGUCUCUUUCAUUUUAUUUGUUACUGUGCCUCACUAAAAGUAAUCCCUAAGUCUCAUACAUAAAUACAUCUUUUGUGGGGGCUGUAAGUGGGGUUCAAGACAGAGUCUAAGUAGGUAGACUCUGCGUGUCCUGGAACUCACUAUAUAUACCAAGCUGGCGUCUUAACUCAAAGAUAUCUGUAGUCUAUCUUAUUACUCAUAAAUUAUUUUAUAUGUGAUUUUAAAAUAUGGAAUUUUAUCAUUGUCUUCUUUUAGUUCUUUUUUCUAAUUCUGAUUUUUUAAUGUUAUUUCUCAAAUCAUUUUGCUAUAUAAGAACUUUUGUAGUCUGUGUUAUAUCACUUUGAAAGACAUAGUAAUCAAAUCAGUCAAGAAAACUUUUUUUUAAAAACCAGCUACUAUUUAUCCUCUUCUGUCUUCAGAGACAAUAAGAAGUAGCUGGUCAGUGUUCACUCACAGUUUCAUGUAUAGUAAUACUAUUUAAUGACACCCUAUGACAUGUCAUUAUGGUUCUCACAAUGAAAAACCUUCCUAGAUAUGCUGAAAGGCAAACUGUUAUAAAAUAUCAAUUUUUAUAGAUUGCAAUACUAUUUUAAUUGGCCAAAAUUUGAUGCAUCUAGCAACCAGUGUGAUAGUAAAGGAAUGCCAUAAACUUAAUUUGAGACAUUGUUUCCUUAAGGGGCAAUAAAGUGAUGACAAGUCUUGAGAUUGGCAGUUGUCUUGUAUUUAACAAGAUUAACAGGUCCUCAUUUCCCAGGGAUUCACCUAGAUCAGAUUCUUGUUAGUGAACAUCUUAUAAGAAUAUUAUAUUUGAUUUAAAAAUAUAAAAUCUUCUUCUUAGGACAUUAGACAUCAUUCCUUAAUGUGCAUAUUUUAUAAAAUCAGGUUUUCAUUACCAUAUUUACCUGAGCAUCCUUAAAUUACCUUGGUUUUUUUUUUCUCUUUCUUUUAUUGAAUAACAAGUUUUUUUCUCAUAAAAUAUAUCCUGGUUAUAGUAGUUUUUGCUCACUCUACUACUCUCCCUUUCUAUCUCUC